UACGAAGGGGGCUAGCGUUGUUCGGAAUCACUGGGCGUAAAGGGCGCGUAGGCGGCUUUAUAAGUCGGGGGUGAAAGCCUGUGGCUCAACCACAGAAUUGCCUUCGAUACUGUAGAGCUUGAGACCGGAAGAGGUAAGUGGAACUGCGAGUGUAGAGGUGAAAUUCGUAGAUAUUCGCAAGAACACCAGUGGCGAAGGCGGCUCACUGGCCCGGUACUCGACGCUGAGGUGCGAAAGCGUGGGGAGCAAACAGG
rnacentral:rRNA from 1 species